rfam:Myotis brandtii contig268220, whole genome shotgun sequence.
GAGACACCCCUAUGGAGCAGGACUUGCUUCAGUGGGGCUUUGGUGCUCACUGAGUCUUCCCCUUGAGUCUGUUGCU